rnacentral:rRNA from 1 species
UACGGAGGGUGCAAGCGUUGUCCGGAAUCACUGGGCGUAAAGGGCGCGUAGGCGGCUCAUGAAGGCUGUGGUGAAAGUCCGGGGCUCAACCUCGGAUCGGCCGUGGCGACUCGUGGGCUGGAGCACUGUAGAGGCGGGUGGAAUUCCGGGUGUAGCGGUGGAAUGCGUAGAGAUCCGGAAGAACACCAGUGGCGAAGGCGGCCCGCUGGGCAGUGGCUGACGCUGAGGAACGAAAGCUAGGGGAGCAAACAGG